rnacentral:rRNA from 1 species
GAUGAACGCUGACAGAAUGCUUAACACAUGCAAGUCUACUUGAACUUCGGUUUGGGUGGCGGACGGGUGAGUAACGCGUAAAGAACUUACCUCACAGUUAGGGACAACAUUUGGAAACGAAUGCUAAUACCUGAUAUUAUGAUUUUAGGGCAUCCUAAGAUUAUGAAAGCUAUAUGCGCUGUGAGAGAGCUUUGCGUCCCAUUAGCUAGUUGGAGAGGUAACGGCUCACCAAGGCGAUGAUGGGUAGCCGGCCUGAGAGGGUGAACGGCCACAAGGGGACUGAGACACGGCCCUUACUCCUACGGGAGGCAGCAGUGGGGAAUAUUGGACAAUGGACCAAAAGUCUGAUCCAGCAAUUCUGUGUGCACGAUGACGUUUUUCGGAAUGUAAAGUGCUUUCAGUUGGGAAGAAAAAAAUGACGGUACCAACAGAAGAAGUGACGGCUAAAUACGUG